rnacentral:tRNA from 1 species
AGGAUAAUAGUUUAUUAAAAACAUUUAAGUUGCAUUUAAAAAAAAUUAUUUACUGAUUUAUCUUA